UCUACGGGUGGCAGCAGUGGGGAAUAUUGCACAAUGGGGGAAACCCUGAUGCAGCGACGCCGCGUGAGUGAAGAAGUAUUUCGGUAUGUAAAGCUCUGUCAGCAGGGAAGAAAAUGACGGUACCUGACCACGAAGCCCCGGCUAACUACGUGCCAGCAGCCGCGGUAAUACGUAGGGGGCAAGCGGUAUCCGGAUUUACUGGGUGUAAAGGGAGCGUAGACGGCAGGGCAAGUCUGGAGUGAAAGGCGGGGGCUCAACCCCCGGACUGCUCUGGAAACUGCCAGGCUGGAGUGCAGGAGAGGUAAGUGGAAUUCCUAGUGUAGCGGUGAAAUGCGUAGAUAUUAGGAGGAACACCAGUGGCGAAGGCGGCUUACUGGACUGUAACUGACGUUGAGGCUCGAAAGCGUGGGGAGCAAACAGGAUUAGAUACCCGAGUAGUC
rnacentral:rRNA from 1 species